rnacentral:rRNA from 1 species
UACGUAGGGUGCAAGCGUUGUCCGGAAUUAUUGGGCGUAAAGGGCUCGUAGGCGGUCCGUCACGUCGGGAGUGAAAACUUGGGGCUUAACCCCAAGCCUGCUUCCGAUACGGGCGGACUAGAGGUAGGCAGGGGAGAACGGAAUUCCUGGUGUAGCGGUGAAAUGACGCAGAUAUCAGGAGGAACACCGGUGGCGAAGGCGGUUCUCUGGGCCUUACCCUGACGCUGA